rnacentral:rRNA from 1 species
GCUUGUCUCAAGACUAAGCCAUGCAUGUCUAAGUAUAAACGCUUCUAUACUGUGAAACUGCGAAUGGCUCAUUAAAUCAGUUAUAGUUUAUUUGAUGGUUCCUUACUACUUGGAUAACCGUAGUAAUUCUAGAGCUAAUACAUGCAGAAAGUCCCGACUUCUUGGAAGGGAUGUAUUUAUUAGAUCCAAAACCAGCGCGAGUUUCCUUCGGGGGCUCGGUUGCAUGGUGAUUCAUGAUAACUGCUCGAAUCGCAUGGCCUUGCGCCGGCGAUGAUCCAUUCAAAUUUCUGCCCUAUCAACUUUCGAUGGCAAGGUAGUGGCUUGCCAUGGUGACAACGGGUGACGGAGAAUUAGGGUUCGAUUCCGGAGAGGGAGCCUGAGAAACGGCUACCACAUCCAAGGAAGGCAGCAGGCGCGCAAAUUACCCAAUCCCGACUCGGGGAGGUAGUGACAAUAAAUAACAAUGCUGGGCUAUCGUAGUCUGGCAAUUGGAAUGAGUACAAUCUAAACCCCUUAACGAGGAACAAUUGGAGGGCAAGUCUGGUGCCAGCAGCCGCGGUAAUUCCAGCUCCAAUAGCGUAUAUUAAAGUUGUUGCAGUUAAAAAGCUCGUAGUUGGAUUUCGGGGCAGCCCGGCUGGUCCGUCGCGAGGCGAGUACUGGUCGGCCGCCCUUCCUCUCGAAAGCCCCGACUGCUCUUCACUGCAGUGGUCGGGGAGUUCGGGACGUUUACUUUGAAAAAAUUAGAGUGUUCAAGGCAGGCCAUCGCCUGAAUACAUUAGCAUGGAAUAAUGGAAGAGGACCUCGGUCCUAUUUUGUUGGUUUCUAGGGCCGAAGUAAUGAUUAAGAGGGACAGUUGGGGGCAUUCGUAUUUAAUUGUCAGAGGUGAAAUUCUCGGAUUUAUGAAAGACGAACAACUGCGAAAGCAUUUGCCAAGGAUGUUUUCAUUAAUCAAGAACGAAAGUUAGGG